UGGACAGAUCAACUGUAUACGACUGUAUUCACGGUGUGAAACAGGGGAUUACUGAUUUUAAACGGAAAGUGAAUCAAUUAACAUAAUAGACUCCU
rfam:Nicotiana attenuata strain TT chromosome 12, whole genome shotgun sequence.